CUCUCUUUAAAUGUAAAGCUGCCUCUGCUGCACCUGUGACGUUUGCCGCCUGCCGUGCAAUACCAGUGCGCACUGGGCAUCAAAAGCGCAGAUAGAGGCAAAACAAUGUCACAAAAAAGGACAUAUCCUUCAGGUGCAGAAAAAAGGAAGAAGAAGAAAGUGGAAGAGGAGAAAAAAAUGCCAUGAUAAAGGAGCAUUGUUAAAAUACUUUGGAGGCACAGAAUCAGCCCAGAGCCAGUCCACAUCCUCAGGCUCAACUGUGAGUGAUGAAUCAGGUCCAUCUCCAUCCUCUACAGUGCUCUCACACACCUCCAUCCUCUGUGCCCACUGUCCCCUCCAUGUCUGAAACCACAGCUGAUUUAUCUACAACUUCCACCACAGCGUCCCCUUCACACCAUGGACCAUCAUCAGUUCCGCCAGUUGACCCAGCUGUGUGGCCUUCUUUCCUCUCAGAUUCAGACAGGACUGAGCAGGUGAUCAGAGGACCACUGUCUAUUAAGGAGAACUUUUCAUUCCCCAAACGGCAUGAUGGCCGAAGUUUUCAUUAUCAUUAUACCUACAGACAGCUAGUCAAUGGGGAAAAAGUCAAGCGUAGCUGGCUGACUUAUUCAAGAAGUCUAUUGCUUUUGCUGCAAAUUAUUUUCCAAAAAGUCCUUAAAACUGGCAGCCGAGGGACAGCGGGAUUGGGUCAACAU